rnacentral:rRNA from 1 species
CCUACGGGGGACAGCAGUGAGGAAUAUUGGUCAAUGGCCGCAGGGCUGAACCAGCCAAGUCGCGUGAGGGAUGACGGUCCUAUGGAUUGUAAACCUCUUUUGUCAGGGAGCAGAGGGCGCCACGUGUGGCGUUUGCGAGUACCUGAAGACACAGCAUAGGCUAACUCCGUGCCAGCAGCCGCGGUAAUACGGAGGAUGCGAGCGUUAUCCGGAUUUAGUGGUUUUAAAGGGUGCGCAGGCGGAAUGUAAAGUCAGAGGUAAAUUUUCGGGGCUCAACCCCGUCGUGCCGUUGAAACUGGUGAGCUUGAGUGAGCGAGAAGGAUGCGGAAUGCGUGGUGUAGCGGUGAAAUGCAUAGAUAUCACGCAGAACUCCGAUUGCGAAGGCAGCAUACCGGCGCUCAACUGACGCUCAUGCACGAAAGCGUGGGUAGCGAACAGGAUUAGAUACCCGGGUAGUC